UCUCUCAAACCGUAUGGCCAAAAAUUCUCAAUUUUUUACACAACCUGCAUAUCUACUGAUAUUAACACCCCAAAUUUUUUCCAGAAUUUAUAAAGCACAAAAAGGGGACGAAAAUGCCCCUGCUACGGACUGAUCCAAAACAGUUCCUAGAAACGGGACUGUUUUCACAUAAAUCAACACCACGACUUUUAGAAACGUGAUUUUUGAGUUCUACCACUUGGGUUAACUACUAAACACAUAUAUCUAGCACCCCUCUUUGACGGAUCGCAAAAAGGAAUUUUAGAUUUAAAACGGUGAAAUUUCAAAGUAUAUAGAAAUUUUGAUUUUCAAAACUAGAAAAUUAUUUUUCCUUAUUCUUUUGAUUCCCACCAAAUCAACACCCAAUAUGGUUAUAUCUAAACAUGAAACACUCAUUAACACAUAUAUCUAAGGUUUUUGAGUUUAGAAACAUAAAUCCAAGCUUUGAUUUGGAAAACUAAAAUCAAUUGCAUAAACUAAUUUUAGGAUUUACCUUUUUCUUAAGCCUUCCUUCUUCUUCUUCUUCCUUCUUCCUUCUUCCUUCUUCCUUCUUCCAUGGAUGAACUUUCUCUUUCUAAUCUUUAUAAAAUUGAUUGCAAUUGAUUGAGGGUUGAUUAUUGCUAGAGAUAUAGAGUCACCACUCAAUCAACCAACUAAAUUAUUGCUCAUAGGAUUCUCUAGGAAAUAAUUCACCAAAAUGGGACAAAAAGGGUAAAAUGGACAUUUCCAUAUCAAUAAUUGAUAUUUUUUUUAAUUCUUAUUUAGCAUACCAAAUGUCCAAUAUCUCCCUCCUUAAUUGGGCUUAAAUUUGGGCCACCAUUUCCAUCUUUUGGGCUAUCAAUAAAUAAUAUAUUGGACUUAAAAUUUAAUUCUUUGGGCCAUGUAAAUUAACAUAGUCCAAUACUAUUAAUUCUUUUCCAACCCAAAUCAUUAAAUUAGGGUUUUCAUUUUCCUCAAUUAUAACUUAAAUCCUUACUCAUGCACAUUUAUUUCCUUAACCCAAUUAGACUUGCUAAAAUUAGGUUAUAAAAUUAAUUAACUGAGAUGUAUAAAAUAAAUCUCU
rnacentral:lncRNA from 1 species